GAUCCUUAACCCGCUGAGCAAGGCCAGGGAUCGAAUCCACAACCUCAUGGUUCUAAUCGGAUUUGUUUUCACUGCGCCACAGUGGGAACUCCCUAAUGGAUUCUUUAACUAAGUAAACUGUGAAGUUGUGAGGUUUCUGCCAGAAUUUAAUAUUAUAAACAUCCAGAAUUCUUUGGGUACAGUUUCAUUAAACUAAAUUAAUAAAAUACUGUUGGGUAUUUAUUUAUUUCAAACUAUUCAAAUUUUUUUUUACAUUUUUUGUUUAAAAAAAUUUUUUUACAGUUGAUUUACAAUGUUACUCCAAUUUCUGCUGUACAGCGAAGUAACCCAAUCACACACAUACAUACAUUCCCCUUCUUCUAUUAUCCUCCAUCACUGGCUAUCCCAAGAGACUGGAUAUAGUCCCCUGUGCCAUACAGCAGGAUCUCAUUGCCCAUCUAUUCUAAAUGUAAUUCAAAAUAUUCAUUUUUAAAGCAUAAAAUUCUAAAGUAAUCUUUCUACCAUUAUUGACAAAAAAAAAAAAAUUGAAAGCAGACUGAGAAGACAGGGCCACUUAUAAGCAGCUUUUAUUAACACAAAGAGCACUAGAUAACUUCUAUGUCAGUUUCUGGAAAUCCCAGGUUUAAUUUUGAUUACAGUAUUUAAAAAUAAGAAUGAUUAACCCACCACCAGAGCCUCCAAAAUAAAUGUGAACAAUUAGAUAUGCUUCUAGGUAUGAGUGGGAAUACCUAAAAAGCUUAUUAGUUGACAAAGAAUUAAGAAAGGAUAUAUAAAAUUAUAACCUCAUAAAUAAAAUCAUACAAAGGGCAUCCAGUAUUUUAUUCUAAAUGUGAGGAAGGGUAUUUAUGGCUUAAAUAAAAUUUUUCUCAAGCCCUAGUAAACAUUUUUUUUUCCAAGAUCAUCUAGUAAUGGAGUUCCUGUUGUGGCUCAGCAGAUUAAGGACCCAACACUGGAAGGAUGUAGGUUCAAUCCCUGGCCUCGUUCAGCGGUUUAGAAUCCAGAGCUGCUGCCAGCUGCAGCAUGGCUCACAAAUGUGGCUUGCAUCUGGUGCUGCCAUAGUUGUUGUGUAGGCCUCAGCUGCAGCUCUGAUUUGACUCCUAGCCCAGUAACUUCCAUAUACUGCAGAAGUGGCCAUAAAAAGAAAAAAGGGAAAACAAACUCAGUGGCUUAUGAAAGCUCAUCUAGCAUUUUGAUCAUUCAUUUAUGCAUACUUAGUCUUUAUGUACAAGGCUUUAUACUACACAAUGGAUACAGAAUGAUAAAUAAAGAGAAUGCACCUCCAAGAGUCUAGGAAAACUUAAUCAUGAUUCUUGGUAAAGUUUAAAAUCAGAAUCAUCAGUUUUUUUGUCUCCUGUGAUAUAUAGUCCCUUUCCAUUUUUCUUUAAUAAAUAACAAUCAAAACUCCACUCAGAACAGUACAAAAAGUAUUAUUUAAACAAGGUAUUUCAUCCAGAUGUGUCUCCAUACACUGUAAAGCAGAAACAAAGCAGCUUUCCCUCCUUUCACAUCUGUAAUAACAGUUGUGCCUGAUGGAUACCUGAAUUUUGUUGCCUCUACCCAUGAUGAGUCACCCCAUGAACUCAUUCUUUUUCUGCUAUUUCACAAUAGAUUCUAUGCAUACAUAAUUGGGAAUUCCCAUCAAGGCUAACAAACCUGGUAACAAACCUGGCUAGGAUCUAUGAGGACACGGGUUCAAUCCCUGGCCUUGUUCAGUGGGUUAAGUGUUGCCACAAACUGUGGUGUAGGUCGCAGAUAUAGCUCAGAUCCCAUGUUUCUGUGGCUUAGGUCAACAGUUAUAGCUUCGAUUCAACCCCUAGCCUGGGAAUUUCCAUAUGCUGCAGGUGCAGACUUAAAAAGACAAAAAAAAAUUAUUUUUUAAAAAAAAUUUAAAAAAUUUAUAAGAUAUUGUUUUUAGAGAACAUACACCUCCCAAAUUUGAACAUUUCAAAUACAAAUAAAAACAAAUACAUAUGUAAUAGAAAUAGUUUAUUUUAAUGUUUUUUGGUUUUGUUUUAAAUGAGUAGGUUAAAUCUACUGAUAGUACAGCUUUUUCAAUUUGGUUAGUAAUACGAUUAACUGUCUUUCUUCUCCAAAGCAACAAAUAUCUACCAACAAAAAUAAAUUACUCCAUGCCACCUCCACACACCCCACACAGCCUCCACCACACAUUCACAGUGGUGGGGAGAAAAGAGAGGCUAGGUAUAAAAAUACAAAUUACAAGAAAAGACUAUGCCCAAAGCCAACUUUUUUGAGUCACCAAUUUCUACCACCCUUCUGAAGGACAACUGCCCUACUGCAGGGGACCUAAGAAACAGCUCCAGGUCACUUAAAACGGUAUCAAAGGCAUGAAAAAUAAUCAUGAUGUAAAAACCACCCAAGUACGGAGUACCCAUUGUCGCACAGUGGAAAUGAAUCCAACUAGGAACCAUGAGGUUGUGGGUUUGAUCCCUGGCCUCGCUCAGUGGGUUAAGGAUCCAGAGUUGCCGUGAGCUGUUGUGUGGGUCAGAGAUGUGGCUGGAAUCUGGCAUUGCUGUGGCUGUGGCAUAGGCCAGCCAGCUAUAGCUCCAAUUCAACCCUUAGCCUGGGAAUCUCCAUAUGCCGCAAGUGCGGCCCUAUGAAGCAAAAAAAAAAAAAAAAAAAAAAAAAAAA
rnacentral:lncRNA from 1 species